rnacentral:rRNA from 1 species
UGAAUAUACCAUACGUUGCCUCGGCAGGCUGCAUACGAUUCUCUAGUACAAACCCGGGUGCGUUAAGGCCUGCCGGCGGCCCAUUCUAUGAAUUCUAGUUAUAUUGUUUGGUUCUGAUAUGAAGUAAAUUAUAAGUUAAAACUUUCAACAACGGAUCUCUUGGUUCUGGCAUCGAUGAAGAACGCAGCGAAAUGCGAUAAGUAAUGUGAAUUGCAGAAUUUAGUGAAUCAUCGAAUCUUUGAACGCACAUUGCGCCCAUUAGUAUUCUAGUGGGCAUGCCUGUUCGAGCGUCAUUUCAACCCUUAAGCCUUUGUUGACUUAGUGUUGGGAGCCUACGGCAGCGUAGCUCCUCAAAACCAGUGGCUGAGUCGGUUCACACUCUAGAUGUAGUAGAUUCUAUCUCGUCUGUGAGUUGGGCUGAUCUCUUGCCGUAAAACCCCCCAAAUUUUUCAAGGUUGACCUCGGAUCAGGUAGGAAUACCCGCUGAACUUAAGCAUAUCAAUA